UCCCAGAGCCGGGAGCUCCACACUUCAAAUGCUGUGGGAAGAGAUAAUGACCACAAGUCUCCCAGGACCAGUUUACCAGCAAACAGACCCCGCAGGGACCCAAGUCUAGCCUCUUCUCAGGUGCUCCUUCAGGAGAAGAUAGCAGAUUAGAAGAUACCCAGAGGCCGCCUUUUGGUCCCAGGAGCCCGGAAACCCAUUCCCUUUCCCUGCACAUCUGGCUGCCAGCCCAGGCUGAGAGCUGAACCCUCACCUGUGAAUGAAGAAACCAAGCUACUCCAGGGAACAACAAAGCUAUGGCUACCACUCAAACUUCUGUCUAGUCACUGGCCACUGUAUAACAAGUGUCAAUCAGCACUAAUUGCAUUACCAUGCUGUGUGAUAUGGCUGCUUCAUUGGACACUCAGGUGGAAAUCAGUCCCUGCUAUGGCUGUGGUCAAGACUUGUCAGAGCACUGGUGCCACAGGAACAGAACCCUAUGACGAUCUAGAAAAUGCAGUACUCUCUGGUCUCUUCUGAGGGCAAUGCACCUGGACACAGUCAACCAGCAGGUCUUCUGACCUCAAAGCCAGGGAGGAAACUGCCCUCCCCGUUCCGAAGUAAAAGACUAAGGACACUUUAAAAACAUUUUAAAGAGAAAGUUCCAGGAUCUGGAUGUGCUCUGGUCAUACUGAGCUUUUUCUCCUGGAGGCUGGGGAUGGAACUCGGGUCAUCAUACUUUCAAAACUUUGCUGAUGGAACCAUUACUACAGCCAUAAGAAGCAAAUACUUAAAACCUCACAUUCUCUGGAGCAAUAAUCUUCAUUUCCAAGCCAUUAGUAAAAGUACUUAGUAGAGGCUGUUCUUGGGGCCUCCCUUCCUGGUGGAAGUGUCUCUGGGCCAGUGGUGAGGUACU